rnacentral:rRNA from 1 species
AGUGGCGAACGGGUGAGUAAUACAUCGGAACGUGUCCCGUAGUGGGGGAUAACCCGGCGAAAGCCGGACUAAUACCGCAUAUGCCACGGGAAAGUGGUGCUAUGGGAGCGGCCGAUGUCCGAUUAGCUUGUUGGCGGGGUAAAGGCCCACCAAGGCGACGAUCGGUAGCUGGUCUGAGAGGAUGAUCAGCCACACUGGGACUGAGACACGGCCCAGACUCCUACGGGAGGCAGCAGUGGGGAAUUUUGGACAAUGGGGGCAACCCUGAUCCAGCCAUGCCGCGUGAGUGAAGAAGGCCUUCGGGUUGUAAAGCUCUUUUGGCCGGAAAGAAUGACGGUACCGGCAGAAUAAGCACCGGCUAACUACGUGCCAGCAGCCGCGGUAAUACGUAGGGUGCGAGCGUUAAUCGGAAUUACUGGGCGUAAAGCGUGCGUAGGCGGUUCUUUGUGUCCGCUGUGAAAUCCCCGGGCUUAACCUGGGAAUUGCAGUGGAAAA